AAUCGGCCUACCAUACCAGGGACGUGAUUCCUAACAUGGAGCCGAGGGAAACGAACCUCAGCAAACUACCAAUAUGGGAAAGCUGAAAAAUCAAGUGUUGGGUGGAGUUUGGUAGGCCGUUCUUACGGCUCGAAGAAGUCAGACCCA
rnacentral:sRNA from 12 species